rnacentral:rRNA from 1 species
CAGUCGCCGCGGUAAAACCAGCACCUCGAGUGGUCAGGAGGUUUAUUGGGCCUAAAGCAUCCGUAGCCGGUUGCAUAAGUUUUCGGUUAAAUCUAUGCGCUUAACGUAUAGGCCGCCGAAAAUACUGUGCAGCUAGGGAGUGGGAGAGGUACACGGUACUCGAUAGGAAGGGGUAAAAUCCUUUGAUCUAUUGAUGACCACCUGUGGCGAAGGCGGUGUACCAGAACACGUUCGACGGUGAGGGAUGAAAGCUGGGGGAGCAAACCGGAUUAGAUACCCGAGUAGUCCCUGUCUCUUAUAA